GCGAGAGCGAGCCGCGCAGACGCUUGUCUGUGGCGGCAAGCGCGCCAUCCUUGUGUUGCGUGUACGUAUGUAUGUAUGUGUGUGCUGUUGCAUGUGCACCUUGUGUGCGCGUGCAGCACGCACAUGCCUAUUACACUCACUCACCCAUCUUACUGUUUAUUCUAAUCAACUGCUCGCACGAGCACAAACUACCGAA
rnacentral:misc_RNA from 1 species